UUUUCACAAUGGACGAAAGUCUGAUGGAGCAAUACCACGUGAACGAUGAAGGUCUUCUGAUUGUAAAGUUCUUUUAUUUAGGAAAAAAAGCGUGCUAGGAAAUGAGCGCGCCUUGAUGGUACUAAUUGAAUAAGUGACAGCUAACUAUGUGCCAGCAGCUGCGGUAAAACAUAGGUCACGAGCAUUAUCCGGAUUUAUUGGGCGUAAAGGAAGCGUAGGCGGGGAGGUUGAUCCAUUGUUAAAAGCAUUUGCUUAACAAAUGUGUGCAUUGGAGAUCGCCUCCCUAGAGUUAAUCAGGGGGUACUGGAAUUCAAUGUGUAGCGGUGGAAUGCGUAGAUAUAUUGAGGAACACCAGAGGCUAAGGCGAGUGCCUAGGAUAUAACUGACGCUGAGGCUUGAAAGCGUGGGGAGCAAAUGGGAUUAGAUACCCCAGUAGUCCACGCCGUAAACGAUGAGCAUUGGGCAUUUGACAUCUGGUCGAGUGCUGUAGCUAACGCGUUAAAUGCUCCGCCUGGGUAGUAUAUAUGCAAAUAUGAAGCUCA
rnacentral:rRNA from 1 species